rnacentral:rRNA from 1 species
AAGAUUAAGCCAUGUAUGUGCCAAGUUCAUACGUUAGACGUGAGACUGCGGACGGCUCAGUAAAUCAGUGACAAUCUAUUUGAUUUUCUCUCCCAUUGGAUAACCGUGGGAAAUCUAAAGCUAAUACGUGCGGUAUCUUGGCGUAUCUUCGGGUACGUCAAAGCAUUUAUUAGACUAAACCACUUACUAUGCUCCGGCAUAGUAAGGGAAUCUGGAUAACUCUGCUGAUCGUAUGGCCUAGUGCCGGCGACGUUUCAAUUGAGUUUCUGCCCUAUCCAACUUGUUGGUAAGGUAUUGGCUUACCAAGGUUGCAACGGGUAACGGGAAUCAGGGUUCGAUUCCGGAGAGGGAGCCUGAGAAACGGCUACCACAUCCAAGGAAGGCAACAGGCGCGCAAAUUACCCAAUCUAGACAGUAGGAGGUGGUGAAGAGAAUUACUAAAUGGUGGUCUUAUUGAUCAUUUGUUUGGAAUGAACGUAACUUAAGAAAUUCGUUGAGAAACAACUGGAGGGCAAGUCCUGGUGCCAGCAGCCGCGGUAAUUCCAGCUCCAGUAGUUUGCUUUAAAGUUGUUGCGUUUAAAACGCUCGUAGUUGGAUCACGCAGUGAUGUUCAGUAAUCUUUAGAGGGGUGUCGUCAAAUGUAUCCGUCACGUACGGCCAUUUGACGUCACCCGCUUCAGAUAUCAUGCUGGACGUCGCUAGUUGCACGUGAGAUAGAUUGUUGGCCUUGAAUGUGCCGGUAUUCUUGUCUUGCGGGGUGUGCCUUGAAUAAAACAGAGUGCUUAAAGCAGGUUAUCGCCUGAAUGUUAUAGCAUGGAACGAACAAUCGUGUAUAUGUGUGCGUCUCUGGGCAGUUGUGAACCUUUGGUUUACAGUUGUUCGAGAUGCGCACGGCACCCACCAAAAUAUGGCUGUUGGUUCCAUAUACGGUGAUGAUUAACAGGAGCGGUUGGGGGCAUCGGUAUUUGGCCGCGAGAGGUGAAAUUCUUAGACCGGCCAAGGACUAACAAAUGCAAAGGCACUUGUCUAGACCGUUUCCAUUAAUCAAGAACGAAAGUGGGAGGUUCGAAGACGAUCAGAUACCGUCAUAGUUCCCACCGUAAACUAUGCCGACCUGGGAUCAGUUUAGAGAUGUUACAAGCUCUAGAUUGGUCCCCCUGGGAAACCUAAAGUUUUUCGGUUACGGGGAGAGUAUGGUCGCAAGGCUGAAACUUAAAGGAAUUGACGGAAGGGCACCACCAGGGGUGGAGCCUGCGGCUUAAUUUGACUCAACACGGGGAAACUUACCUGGUCCGGACAUCGAUAGGAUAAACAGAUCAAUAGCUCUUUUUUGAUCCGAUGAGUGGUGGUGCAUGGCCGUUCUUAGUUCGUGGAGUGAUCUGUCAGUUUAAUUACGGUAACGAACGAGACCACAGUCCCCAUUUGAGAGAUGAAAGUAGGCGUCGAUUCACUCUGCCUCACAGUGGAGCGAAUCGGCGCUGUAGGCAUAGUUGUGGAAGGAAUUUGGUGCAGUGGGGUAACUUGCUGUGCCUUUUUUUGACACGCGGCUCUCCCUUUCAUCACACAGAGACUGGCCUCGGUUGGUCGCUGUCUCAUGGGGAGACAACGAGGUAUAANCAAGCUCGAGGAAGAGUGGCUAUAACAGGUCAGUGAUGCCCUUCGAUGUUCAGGGCUGCACGCGCGCUACAAUGAUAACGUCAGCGAGUGUCUGCGUCGAAAGACGUGGGUAAUCUUUAAUCGUUAUCGUGAUGGGGAUUGACCGUUGUAAUUGUCGGUCAUGAAAGAGGAAUCCCUAGUAUGCACAUUUUAUUAGAAUGUGCAGAUUGAGUCCCUGCCCUUUGUACACACCGCCCGUCGCUACUACCGAGUGAAUGGUGUCAUGAUGCGCUGGGACUGGACGUUAGAUGGGUGUAACAGCUCGUCCGACGCUGGGAUCAGCGUAAAAUGGCGACAUUUCGAGGAAGUAAAAGUCGUAACAAGGUUUCCGU